CCCUUAGAUGUUCUGGGCCGCACGCGUGCUACACUGAGUGGAUCAGCGGGUCAGGUUGCGCGAAAGUGUUUCCUAAUCUUUAAAUCCGCUCGUGAUGGGGAUUGACGGUUGCAAUUUUCCGUCAUGAACGAGGAAUACCUUGUAAGCGCGGGUCAUCAUCCCGCGCUGAAUACGUCCCUGCCCUUUGUACACACCGCCCGUCGCUUCUACCGAUUGAGUGGUCCGGUGAGGCUUUGGGAUCUGAGCGGAAAGAGCGUUUCGCUGUUUCUGCCCGGAAAACUCAGUCGAACCUUAUCAUUUAGAGGAAGGAGAAGUCGUAACA
rnacentral:rRNA from 1 species